UACGAAGGGGGCUAGCGUUGCUCGGAAUUACUGGGCGUAAAGGGCGCGUAGGCGGCUCUGUUAGUCAGGCGUGAAAGUCCUGGGCUCAACCUGGGAACUGCGCUUGAUACGGCAGAGCUAGAGGAUGGAAGAGGCUCGCGGAAUUCCCAGUGUAGAGGUGAAAUUCGUAGAUAUUGGGAAGAACACCGGUGGCGAAGGCGGCGAGCUGGCCUGUACCUGACGCUGAGGCGCGACAGCGUGGGGAGCAAACAGG
rnacentral:rRNA from 1 species